ensembl:lncRNA
GUGCAUUUAUCACAGCAUAUAAUGUGUUUUCUGGGUUGAUGUGUUUAUCGGGCACAAACUAAGAUUUACAAACGUGUGAAAUCAUUUGUGCCUCAAUCCAGACACAAAUAACAAAAUAACAUGAAGUAUUUUACAAAUGUUUGAAUCCAAACUUGAUUAAAUAUCAUUUAAAGACACAAAAAUCUUCCUGUGUCUGAAAAUAUUUGUUAGUUUGAGUCCCUGACAGAAAAUUAAAUAUACCUGAUACACACCUGUGUACGUGUAGUUUUGCUUUCAGUGAGUCUCAUUCAGUGUGUGCAGCCAAACAUGAUGGUAGACUGCCACAGAUCACUUCUGAGGAAAGAGGAGGCGUUCAGCUUCCUCAUAGUUUCACACCUGCAUGAAGCAGCCUCACCCUGACAGCUUCAAAUCACUGUGUCAGCUGAUCACUCCCUGUCCUGUGAUUGGCUGAGCUUCAGGCCUUCUCUCAGUCAAACUGGAAACAGGGAUUGAGACAGUGUGAGGGUUUGUGGAGUGCCACAGUGCUGUAAUGAAUCCUGUAGUGGAAGAAGUUCUUUCACACUCUUCAUCCUGGAGCUGCUUUAUGUCCAUGAUCUGCAUGGAAACACAUCUAUGGAGAGGAAAUCCAGCUGCUGAGGGUCACAUCUGCAUCAUUGUAGCUACAGUGGAUGUUUCAGUGUCAGGACUGAAGGCGGAGCUUUGUGCGUGUCAGGGUGAGGCCGCAGCAGCCGCCUCCAACCGGAGCGCUCGGGCGUGAAACUAGGAGGAAAGCCGACGUCCUCCUCUUUCCUCAGAAGUGAUCUGUGGCCGGCCGGACUUCAUUCCACAGAUGUGCUUUAACAAAGUGUGAAGCUGAACUCUGAGCUGUGACAGUGUGAGCAGUGUGAGAGUGUCAGUAGAUGAUCAGCAGAGGAAAGUGAGAGCUGCUGUGAGCUGAUGUCCUGAAGGGCUUUUAAAGAGUCUCUGAGUUUGACAGGAACAUGAAGAUGUUUGUGGUGUUUGUGAUCCUCCUGCACGUUUCCCAGCAUGCCUCGGGUGUGGAGCUGUAUGAGGGGGACUCGUUUAUCCUGCCCUGUCAGUUUCCCACAGAAAGAUUUUUUCGCCCCUCAGUGGUGUGGAGUCGCUCCGACCUCAGUCCUCCAACCGUCCACCAGCGUCAGCUUCAAGGAGACGAAUUGAAAGAUCAAAACCAGCGUUACAGCGGCCGAACAUCCAUGAAGACUGACGCUCUGGAUACUGGAGACCUCAGCCUGAAAUUGACCAACCUCCAACUGUCUGACAGCGCCACCUACACCUGCUCCAUCAGAGACUUUGGAAGUGAACUGAGUCGGAGUGAUGUACAGCUGCAGGUCAAAGAACAGUUUCCAUCCUGGGCCAAAGCUCUCCUGGUUCUCCUGGUUCUUCUUGUGGUUUCUGGAGGUCUUUUAUUUCAUUUCCGGCACUAUAUCAUGUCAGGUGAGUGUCUCCUACUACACUACCCAUAAUGCCGAUGGUCAGCAGGUGUCCUCUGGUGGCUCCUUGACUGUGGCUCACACAAACUUGUUCCAGAAGCUGAAAGAGUUGAGAGUUACAAACAGCUGAUACAGAGAGCUGAAGAGAAACUUCCAGGUUUGUUCCAGAAGUCAGAAAACCUCCUUCAGACUCAGUCAUUGAUCAGUGAAACAGCUCCACAACAUGACUUUACUAAACAGUGUGUGUGCUUCACUGCAUUGAUCUGACACAGAGGCUGCAUGUGUACAAGCUGUUCUUUCAUUAUCCACAAUUUAUCCUUGUUAGAGUCUCACUGCAGCAGAAGUUAUAACAAAUACAGCACAUAAUAAUAUAACAGUAAAGAAACAAAUACAAUAUUUCACACAAACAUGUGAAUCAUGUGCAAUAACAGAUCAUUACGAGAGCGUCACACUGACUAAAAGAGCUGUUCUCUCACUUCUUUAAAAAUGACUUAAAACAGCACAAACAGGGAUUUAUAGAUAAAAACCAAGCAAACAGGAAAAUCUGUAGAUAUACAGAGAUGGACAUUUAGCAUCAGCAUACAGAGAACAGUCUGUCAAGCAAUAAAAUAUAAAGCACAAUAAUGGACAGUAUCCAACCUCUUUGGGUACAGGAUUCAUAAAAGCAGAUCACUGUAAUCCAAUAAAUAUUAUGUUACGGGUUUUGUUUGUUUAAGGAAACAAACAAAACUCAAGCGUUGGUCAAUAAAGUAAAACAAAAAGAGAGAGCAGCUGACUAGCUGCAAACCGCAAAAACACAGCUGACUAACUGUAACCAUUCACAUGGCUCACCUGGGCUUAAAUCCCUUUAAUUACUGACAAGAGUCAGCUGCACAAAAGAAAAAGGUGGCACCUAAGGCAGGAGGGAUGGUAGGACACACCCACUCAGACAACUUCAGAAGGAGGCCCUGUUAGAUCAGUAACACCCUUUCCCAUAAAUACAAACCCAUGGUUUGUCAAAUGGUUUUACCUAUUGCAAUAUCCAAAACAAUUAAUCAAGUCUGUAACCGUUGCACCGCCAAAAUUGUACUCUUUCCACCUACCAAACACCAUAGGAAGGGUUAGGCAUUUCCUGCGGAAGCUGCCAACCCCAUCUCAAUAGUUUCAAAAUACUGACAGAGGGUGGCCGCAGACCCUCAAAACAAUGUCCCAUGUGAUAACUAGAGAUGGACCGAUCCGAUAUUACGUAUCGGUAUCGGUCCAAUACUGACGUAAAUUACUGGAUCGGAUAUCGGAGAGAAAAAUAAAAAAUGUAAUCCGAUCCAUUAAAUAUCAAAAAAGCAUCUCACAAAACUUGCGACACGGCGUAACUCGGCCCAUAAACGUAGCACGUUGGAGCAGUAUGCCUCACAUGAUAGAGCGGCUGUGUGUAUUUGGAGCCUCGCUACCAAACCAGCAUUUCAUCUCCGAGGAAGUUAUCCCAGAGAGAAGUAAAGCAAAUGUGUAAGUUCAUCUCUGAAUGUUUGUAAAGCGUUCCAGCGUUAAGCUUAACAACCGAUAUAUGGAGCAACUGCCUCUCUCUCCCUCACCUUCCUGCUGCUACUUCAAUCGUGAAACUGCUUAAUGAUCAACUGAUUGGCUUUUCUGUUGCGAGUCUCUCUUCUUUGUUUUUGGCCCACUUUGCACCAGAAAGAGGAAACCAGCGGCUGAACAACAGCAGCGCGUUUAACCUGUGCAGGGGCGGAUCUAGCAAAGUUUAGCCAGGGGGGCCGAUAGUGCAAAGACAUACUUUUCUUUCUUAUUCUCAUUUAAAAUAUCUAUUUUUUAAUAAAUAAUUAUCUGAAUCUUACACCCAAAGUUUUAAUCUGAUGUAAAAUGUAUAGAAGUCCAUUACUGUAUAUAGUAACUGUUAAGUCUAAUAUACCCUAGUAAGCUAUACUACUUUUUUCUUUGAGAAGAUACCAUCUGUGAAUUCUGCAAUUCUAUUGAAGAAAGAUGCUGAAUCUAUUUAAUUAUUCUUGAAAAAUAAUUUAUUUCUGUGCAUUUUUUCACCCUGCAUCAAAUUAAAGUUGAUUACAUCAAUUAAACAUUAUCAGGUGGAGGGUGGGGGGUGGUUCCCUUUUUUUUUUUUUUGCUGGGAGUUUCCAACCCUAUUAAUUAAUUAUUAAUUUCUGCUAAGUACUCUUUUAAAUACCAGAAUAGGAAGGAUGGAGUAGGUUUAAGUUUAUUAGAUUGAUCAGUGUUGCUGAACUAUGAAAUAUUUUGGGUGCAGUGUAUUUUUUACAUACAGGUAUAACAGAAUAGCUUUAGUGUUGUUGUUUAUUUAAACUUGAGUAUGAACUUAUACAAAAUGCAGCAAUAUAUUAAAAAAACAGUUUUAUUGAUUAAAAAACACUAUAUCGGAUUCAUAUCGGUAUCGGCACUAUAUCCACAUUUAUGAUAUCGGUAUCGGACAUAAAAAAGUGGUAUCGUGCCAUUUCUAGUGAUAACAAGGACUGUUUUGAGCCAUCACAUGUGGAGAACACUGCAGGCAGUCAGAGAAGACCUUACUGGAACAGUUUUCAGGUGGUUCCUCAGGUCAGGGGUACAGGCAUGUUUGUUAGCAAGGGGUGCAGUUCUGAGUGGUGGUUUCAUACAUGAUCUGCCCCCCUGCAAGUCAUUUUGAAGACCUGAGAAAUGGUCAACCAGCAUAGCAUGGCAGCUUAGGGUUAGUUGACCUCUUACACUGACUACAUGACACUACUGAGCAAUUAUGCUCCAAGUGUAGCCUUUUACUAGGCCUGGCAACCUUGUCGGUUUGAGAACCAUGACUGACUUUUUUCAAAGCAGGCUGUUGCUAUGCAUUCAAAUACACUGAAAAAGCUUUGAACACUGGAUUCACAGAAAACUGGAACCAGGUGGAUGUUAUUGCCCACAAACGAGCCUCUAGACACCUGUGCACUGACAUCUGUAUCAUCCAUUUCGGGGGCGGAGAAGGCUUAGCAAACACAUCCUAAUUAGGAGACCACCACACCCCUCUGCCAACUCACUCAGAGACUACCAAACAAUUAACCAAUUAAUGGAGAACUACACAACUUACUUUAACUGACCAACUUACCUCUUGUAGCAUACAUAUUAAACAAACACAACUUACCCAGUUCUAAGCACAGAAGAUACUUACCUAUCUUCUGGAGCGUGCUGGGCUCGAGGCGACUUGAAAGGCAAAGCUUCAGCGACUGGAGCCCUGAAUUGCCUACACCCAACAGGGAACUAAUCCCCACCCAGGAUUACUCCAAAAAUAAGAAAGGCAAAAUAAUAAAAGAGUACCCGAGGGAAAACUUCAAAAGCUCAGCUGGACACUCACCUAACUUAACUGGGAAGUUGUGGAUCUCUAAAGGUGACAAAGCAAGAUAAUCAAAAACCAAAUCCAACUUGAAGCUCCCUUUUCAAAUAUCCGGAAGAGCCCCCACUUGUUACUUCCCCCUCACCGCCUAGACCCCUCAGGGGAACGUAACAAUUAAAAAAAAGAUAUAGAGAAAAGAACAGUGGUCCUAAUAUAAAGCAAUUUGGACACGGUGUUCUAGCUGAUGAGUUAAAAACAAACUCACAGCAUUUGCAGAGACCAACAUUGUUUAGUCUGUUUACUAAACUGACAACUGUGUGAAAAACCUUCAAUAAGCCAAAACAAAGAGCAGCUCAUCAAUGAUGUCGUUCAGCACUUUAACAGCAGCAGUUAUUGGACUGUUUUCUGAAUCCUGACUGAUGCUGAGAGAGAGUUUAAUUUUUGUACAGAACAUUUUUUAGUUGUUCACUAAUAAGAUUUUUGUAAACUUUUACUAAACACACACAAUUUAGAUUCAGGCCUGUAGUUAUGAACAUCUGAAGGAUCGUCUCUUUUCAAAGGGAGAACAUGGACAGGUUUGCAUAUUUCAGAGAUCUCACUGUUCAAAGGCUGAAAUUAAAAAUAUAAGUUAGCACUUCUGCUGUAACAUCUUAUUAAGAAAAUAAGGAUCAAGUUGAUUUAGUCCUGCAGAUUUAUUUGGAUCCAACAGAUUUAAGGUCCUGUGGACCUCCAGGACACUCAGAGGAGAAAAGAUGAAGGACUGAAGCACAGACUGAGUUUGAGUGGUUACAGAGAGCCUCCUGUUCAUUAAGCUGUUUGAAAUCUGAUGUAAAGAUUCAAAUAAAGACCACGAAGAAAUAAAAUGUUCAUUAAAGCAGUUUAAAUGUCACAUUUUUCAGUAAAGUACAUCAGUCUUUUCAAACAAAAGCAGCCAUCUUGAUGGAUAUAUCCUCAUAGUAAGAUUUUAUUAUUAUCCUAAUUUCUAGGUUUUUGUUUGUUUGUUUGUUUGUUUGUUCUUUGUUGGGAUCAUUCAGAUGUUUAGUGUUUUUUGAGAGGCAGAAAAAAGGUCUAAAAAUCAAACAGUCUGCCUCAGAUUUAGUUUCUCUGGUCUGAGCCCAGACAGCAUCUCUUUGUUUAAGGAGGCUGGACAGCUGAGGAGAAACCCCAGCAUUGUUUCUGUGGUUUACUCUAAAUUUAAUGAUGGACACAUGUUUAUUUAUCAAAACAUCAUUGAAGUAUUUCCAUCCCAACUCCUCAUCAGUAAAGAGGUGGAUUCUGUUCCAGCUGUCGUAGAAAGUUUGUUCACAAAAAUUCUUAAAAUCUCGAUUAAAAACUAUUUGAGGAUUUUGGGAGCUUCAGCUGUCUGACUGCAGCGAUCACACAGUGGCCCCUGAUAUCAUUUGGAAAAACAAUA